rnacentral:lncRNA from 1 species
CGAGAUAAGUUAAAAGUGUGAUUGGUUGCUCCUAUAAAAUUUGUAAAUAUUUUUUGCGACCUAUUUUUAUAUUUUAUUAUUCUAAUCCGUUUAAUUCGCUUCUACGGGACUCGAACUCAAACUUGGUGGAUGAUACUCAAGUGCUCUAACCAUUAAACUAGAGAUCCUUUAAAAAAACUAAAAACAUGCCGGUACAUUUUGGAUGAAGAGAAGUAGAUUGAGCGAGUGCAGGAUCGUAGGAUCAGGAAAUAUAAGGAUGUUUUGAUGAUUGGGAUAGGCAGAUACAUUAAUCCUGACGGAGAUCUUUGGUUGGUUGUAUGGAUGCACACAAAUAAUUUUUUAUGUGGUAUUGAUAAGUGGGCCUGCAGCGGAUGCAACGUAUUCACUGAAUCAGGAUGAGGACUUAUUUUUUUUCAUCCACUCAUGUGGUAUACCCUCGCUCAUGUAGGCAACCGAAGGCUAUUCUCUAAAAGUUUCUACGGAUCCACCCCUACACCCCACAGGUAGGACUUAUGCGAAUAACCUGGAGACAAUCAGUUCAUCACCUUUUCUACACCCCACAGGUACGACUCAUGCGAACAACCAGGAGACAAUCUGUUCGUCACCUUUUCUUUCCGAGGGACACGAAAAAUCCAAUAUGUAUACGUGACCAUAUGGUUUAUCUCAAUUAUUGAUUUCUCUCCAUUCAAUCGUUGAUCCACUACCUACCGCAUAUAUUUUCAUCUACCUAUGAUCC